AUUUUAUAUUUUAUGAUGUAUUUAAAUGAGUAGUUAUUGUUGAAUACUCCAUUAGAAAUUUGAAUUGAGAUCAUUUUUGGAAUAAGGGAAAGGGGGAGGUGAAAUAAAAUUGAUGGGGUUCAAUAUUUCAGAUUUCAGCAAUGAAAAGGAAAAUUUCUUCAAAUAUCAAAAGAUUAAUAUUCAACAGCAUAGUGAAUUGCUCAAAAGCAAAAAAAAAAACAUUUUAAGUUCAUUAGACCACAUUCAUUCUGUGUCAGAAACCUAUGCUGUGUCAACUAUUUAAUCACAAUCAAAAUUCAGAGCUGUAUCCAGUUUGAAUGUUGUGUCCAUACUAGCCCCAACCGUUCAGGGUUCAACCUUUGCGGUUGUAUAAAGCUGCGCCCUUCGGAGCAUCUGGUUUUCGCAUAAAUUUUGUAUAAUCAUCAAUUUUUUUUCAAUCGGUCAGUGUUGUUGUGAAAAUAUGGCAGGUAAUUAAAGUUCGUGUUUUGAAGCCAAAGUUUAACAAAUGUCACCUGUUUGUCAAUAAACAACAAAAAAGCAUGGAUAUUGAGCACGUGUUUAACAUGUUCAAUCAGAUAAUAGUUUAUUUUAAGGACAUUCAUGCGCAUUGCGAUCAC
rnacentral:lncRNA from 1 species